GCGGCGGCCAUGGCGGCGCGGGGCGCCGAGGCCGAGGCGCUCUUCGAGGCGCACACGGCGGCCGAGCUGCGGGCCGUGGAGCGGCGGCUGCGCGCCGGCAUCGAGCAGAAGCGGGAGGAGCUGCGGCAGAUGGUGGGCGAGCGCUACCGGGACCUCAUCGAGGCGGCCGACACCAUCGCCGAGAUGCGCCUCAGCGCCGAGCGCCUCCUGGGCGCCGUGCGGGGGCUGCAGCGGGGCGGCGCGGGCCGGGCCGGGCUGCCGGCGCCGGCUGCGCAGGCGCCGCUGCCUGCACCCGAGCGGUUCUACCGCGCCGCGGCGCAGAUCAAGCUGCUGCUGGAAAUCCCGGAGAAGGUGUGGAGCGCCAUGGAGGCCUCGCGGUACCUGCACGCCACCCGCCUCUACCUGCUCUGCUGCCACCUCCACGGGCUCCUGCAGCUCGAGCCCGGCAGCUCCCGAUACAGCCCCAUCCUCGCCCGCUUCCCCAUCCUCGUCCGGCAAGUCGCUGCCGCCAGCCACUUCAGAUCCACCAUCCUGCAGGAGAGCAAAUCCCUGCUGAAGUGCCGGGCCGUGUCAGACCAGGCGGUGGCAGAAGCACUGUGCUCUAUCAUGCUCCUGGAGGACAGCUCUCCACGCCAGGCCCUAGCAGACUUCCUUUUGGCCAGGAAGGCAGCUAUCCAGCAGCUUCUCAACCAGCCACAUCAUGGUGCAGGUAUAAAAGCUCAGGUGUGUUCACUGAUGGAGCUGCUAACCACCACCCUGUACCAGGCUCAUGCUCUGUUUUACAUGAUGCCCGAGGGGGCACCCUCAGAUCCAGCUCUGAGUUGUGGCUUGCUCUUCUCGACACUGGAGAGCACCACAGGCCAGCACCCAGCUGGGGGAGGUGGGGUUCUGGAGGAUGAGGUGAAGCUGAGCAGCUGGUUCAGAUACCUCCCGGCAUCUGUGGUGGAGUUCCAGCCAGCCCUCCGGACCCUGGCACACCCCAUCAGCCAGGACUACCUCAGAGAUACACUGCAGAAGUGGAUCACCAUGUGUAAUGACGACAUCAAGGCUGGAAUCACUAACCUGCUGGUCUACGUGAAGAGCUUGAGAGGCCUGGCUGGGAUCCGCGAUGCGGUGUGGGAACUGCUUACAAGCGAGUCAGUGAGCCAGCACUGGGACACUGUGUGCCGUCGCCUUUUGGACAAACCUGCUUCCUUCUGGGAGGACUUGCUGCGGCAGCUGUUCCUGGACAGGUUACAGACACUAACUAAAGAAGGAUUUGACUCCAUCUCAAGCAGCUCCAAACAGCUUCUCAUCUUAGCCCUACAGGAACUUGAAAGCAAGUCCAGCACCUCUGUCCCUAGCAAACACAUCCAGUUUGAACACAAUGUGGCCCUGUUCCUGUGGUCAGAGAGCUCUAGUGACCUGCCUUCAGAUACCGCUUGGGUCAAUGUGGCAAACCGCAGCCAGUUCACCAAGAGUGGCCUGUCCAUGAAAGCACAGGUGCUCACUCCAUGUGUUCAGAGCUUCUGCUCAGCUCUUGACUCAAAACUCAAGGCCAGAUUGGAUGACCUUCUGUCCUACCUUCCCUCGGACUCCUCGCCUGCCAAGGAGGCAGCUCCCACAGUGCUGUCUCGCUCUGCUUUUGACCGAUUCGCCGACGCCAGCGUUGUGGAAGGGCUGCUCCGUGACCACUGCGUUGCCUGCAUCCGUUAUGUGCUGGGCUGUGUGCGCGAAGAGCUCCAGAGUGCCCAGAGCCUGCUAGGAGAGCAGGCAGAUGCUCCCAGUGAUAGCAAACUCAAUGCUGUCCUCUUCAUGGCAAGACUCUGCCAGUCCCUGAGUGAGCUGUGCCCUCACCUGAAGCAGUGUGUCCUGGGCCAGUCGGGCAGCACGGAGACAGCACUGAAGGAAACCCGCUCUGCAAAGAAGCUGGGGAAGGGGAAAGCCCAGGAAGUGAACCCUGCACAGGCCAAGUGGCAGGAAGUGAAGGCAGAGCUUUUGCAGCAGAGCCUGUUUGCUUACCAGAUAUGGAGCUCAGCUGUCACCAAAGCUCUGGUUCAGUGCUUUACCCGCACUUUGCUGCUAGACACAGCAGGCUCUGUCUUGGCCACAGCCACCAACUGGGAUGAAAUUGAAAUUCAGGAGGAGACCGAGUCUGGAAACAGCGUAACGUCAAAGAUCCGGCUACCUGUGCAGCCAUCCUGGUACGUUCAGUGCCUCCUCUUCAGUCUGUGCCAAGAGAUGAACCGGGUUGGAGGUCACACUCUUCCAAAAGUCACCUUGCAGGAGCUGCUGAAGACUUGCAUGGCAGAAGUACUUGUUGCCUAUCAAAAGCUUUUAGAAGAGAAGCAGGAGAAGAAAGAAGGUACCUUCCCCAUGACCCAGAACAGAGCUUUGCAGUUACUCUAUGAUCUGCGGUACCUGAAUAUCAUCUUGACGGCAAAGAGCGAGGAAGCAAAAGCCAGCAGGAUCAAGCAUGACUCUGGGAUUGAGAAGGUGAUUGACUUCCUGGAGGGACACAUAGAUCCGUUUGACUUGGAUGUUUUUACUCCACACUUAAAUAGCAACCUUAACCGCCUGGUUCAACGAACCUCUGUUCUCUUUGGCUUGUUGACUGGGACAGAGAACCAAUACACUAGUAGGAGCAGCACUCUGAGCUCCCAGGAGCUCCAUAAUAUCUUGCCAUUAGCAUCCAGUCAGAUCAGAUUUGGACUUCUGCCGCUAAGUAUGUCCAGCUCACGAAAGACCAAAUCUGCUACCAGAAACACAGAAAGAGUUCAGGAGAACCAUUAUGGCAACACAGCAUGAGAUGGUUUGGAUUUCCCCUUGCCCCUCAAAAAAAAAAAAAAAAAAAAAAAAAAAAAAAAAGACAAAAAACACUGAGGGGCAUCUGGAUUUUUCCUUUUGGCGUACUGCUCUGCAAUCAACAUAGGCAAUAACCACUAUGAAAAUGCAGUGAACACUUAUACAGAUGAGGCAUUUUGAGAUCAAUGCAUAGACUUGGUUGAUUUAAGGAUGGCUGCAAGAAAUGUUGAAGAAUACUGUCUAAUUAUUUGAACUCCCUUCUAGUAUGAUGCUGACCUUUAACUCCUGAUGAAGUCUCGCUUGGGUUCCACCUCCUGCACUCACAAGAACAGACGAUGAGACGUUCCGCCCUGGCUCUUUGUU